AGAGCUUUGACACGCAACGGAACCUCGCAACAGAUUUCUCAGGCUCGGAGGUUAGAUCGUGAGGAAAAGAUCCCUUGUAGUAGUUUCUGUUCUUCUUUUGGUCUGGUUGCUCCAUGUUUGGUAAAGAAAACCUAGUUUAGGCUUCGUUAAUAUAUGUUUUUCUUAUAUAAUUAAAAUUUACAUUAAAACUAAAAUUUAAAUUUAAAUUAGAUUUAAUUUUAAAUUUUAAAUUUAAAUUAAUCUAUAUGCGUUUCUAUGACUGCUAUGACUGCUGCUAGGCUUCUUUCGAUUUUUGAGCGUUAAGGUAAGGCUCAUUUUGUUUGUUAGUAGUAGUAUUAUGGUUCAAAAGUAGAUUGAUGGAAAAAGAUGACUUGUAAUUUGAUGUUUUACCCUCUAUUAUUAUUUUUUUUUUUUGUAGAUGGAUGACUUUCUCUUAGAGAGACGUGCACUAAAAUUUAUCCUCAGGUGAGUGUCUUUUUUUUGUAACUUAAGAAGCAAGUUUGGCUUGGUUUUAAUACGUCUCAAUUUUGUGUAAACUGCAGGAUGACUUCGGGAGUAGUCUACACAAUAGUGAUGCAUGUUUUGUUCAUCACGGCAUACACUUUGCUAACUUUUCGGAUUUUCUAUAAAAAGGGCUUUGAUCCUCG
rnacentral:lncRNA from 1 species